CAUUAGAUGGCUGAACAUCUAAGCAUUGGUCUCUUAAACCAAAUUAUAGUUUUUAAACUUCUAAUGA
rnacentral:tRNA from 1 species